AUUGAACGCUGGCGGCAGGCCUAACACAUGCAAGUCGAACGCGUGGCGGACGGGUGAGUAAUGUCUGGUAAACUGUCCGAUGGAGGGGGAUAACUACUGGAAACGGUAGCUAAUACCGCAUACCAUCGGAUGUGCCCAGAGGGGAUUAGCUUGUAGGUGAGGUACCGGCUCACCUCGGCGACGAUCCCUAGCUGGUCUGAGAGGAUGACCAGCCACACUGGAACUGAGAAACGGUCGAGACGCCUACGGGAGGCAGCAGUGGGGAAUAUUGCACAAUGGGCGCAAGCCUGAUGCAGCCAUGCCGCGUGUAUGAAGAAGGCCUUCGGGUUGUAAAGUACUUUCAGCGGGGAGGCGUUACCCGCAGAAGAAGCACCGGCUAACUCCGUGCCAGCAGCCGCGGUAAUGC
rnacentral:rRNA from 1 species